rnacentral:rRNA from 1 species
CCUUCGGGGUACUCGAGUGGCGAACGGGUGAGUACACGUGGGUGAUCUGCCCUGCACUUUGGGAUAAGCCUGGGAAACUGGGUCUAAUACCGAAUAGGACCGCAUGCUUCAUGGUGUGUGGUGGAAAGCUUUUGCGGUGUGGGAUGGGCCCGCGGCCUAUCAGCUUGUUGGUGAGGUAAUGGCUUACCAAGGCGACGACGGGUAGCCGGCCUGAGAGGGUGACCGGCCACACUGGGACUGAGAUACGGCCCAGACUCCUACGGGAGGCAGCAGUGGGGAAUAUUGCACAAUGGGCGCAAGCCUGAUGCAGCGACGCCGCGUGAGGGAUGACGGCCUUCGGGUUGUAAACCUCUUUCGCCAGGGACGAAGCGCAAGUGACGGUACCUGGAGAAGAAGGACCGGCCAACUACGUGCCAGCA